ACUCCUACGGGAGGCAGCAGUAGGGAAUCUUCGGCAAUGGACGAAAGUCUGACCGAGCAACGCCGCGUGAGUGAAGAAGGUUUUCGGAUCGUAAAACUCUGUUGUUAGAGAAGAACGUUGUGUAGAGUGGAAAAUUACACAAGUGACGGUAUCUAACCAGAAAGGGACGGCUAACUACGUGCCAGCAGCCGCGGUAAUACA
rnacentral:rRNA from 1 species